AUUGAACGCUGGCGGCAUGCCUUACACAUGCAAGUCGAACGGCAGCACGGGAGCAAUCCUGGUGGCGAGUGGCGAACGGGUGAGUAAUAUAUCGGAACGUGCCCAGUCGUGGGGGAUAACGCAGCGAAAGCUGUGCUAAUACCGCAUACGAUCUACGGAUGAAAGCGGGGGAUCGCAAGACCUCGCGCGAUUGGAGCGGCCGAUAUCAGAUUAGCUAGUUGGUGGGGUAAAAGCCCACCAAGGCGACGAUCUGUAGCUGGUCUGAGAGGACGACCAGCCACACUGGAACUGAGACACGGUCCAGACUCCUACGGGAGGCAGCAGCGGGGAAUUUUGGACAAUGGGCGCAAGCCUGAUCCAGCAAUGCCGCGUGCAGGAUGAAGGCCUUCGGGUUGUAAACUGCUUUUGUACGGAACGAAACGGCUCUUUCUAAUAAAGAGGGCUAAUGACGGUACCGUAAGAAUAAGCACCGGCUAACUACGUGCCAGCCGCCGCCGUAA
rnacentral:rRNA from 1 species